UACAAAGUCAUUGAGAUGGAUC
rnacentral:siRNA from 1 species